rnacentral:tRNA from 4 species
GCGGGAGUAGCUCAGUGGCAGAGCAUCAGCUUCCCAAGCUGAAGGUCGCGGGUUCGAUCCCCGUCUCCCGCU